rnacentral:rRNA from 1 species
AGAGUUUGAUCCUGGCUCAGGAUGAACGCUAGCUACAGGCUUAACACAUGCAAGUCGAGGGAAACGAUAUUGGAAGCUUGCUUCCGAUAGGCGUCGACCGGCGCACGGGUGAGUAACGCGUAUCCAACCUGCCCAUCACUUGGGGAUAACCUUGCGAAAGUAAGACUAAUACCCAAUGAUAUCUCUAGAAGACAUCUGAAAGAGAUUAAAGAUUUAUCGGUGAUGGAUGGGGAUGCGUCUGAUUAGCUUGUUGGCGGGGUAACGGCCCACCAAGGCGACGAUCAGUAGGGUUCUGAGAGGAAGGUCCCCACAUUGGAACUGAGACACGGUCCAAACUCCUACGGGGAGGCAGCAGUGAGGAAUAUUGGUCAAUGGGCGAGAGCCUGAACCAGCCAAGUAGCGUGCAGGAUGACGGCCUAUGGGUUGUAAACUGCUUUUAUAAGGGAAUAAAGUGAGUCUCGUGAGACUUUUUGCAUGUACCUUAUGAAUAAGGACCGGCUAAUUCCGUG